rnacentral:rRNA from 1 species
UACGGAGGGAGCUAGCGUUGUUCGGAAUUACUGGGCGUAAAGCGCGCGUAGGCGGCUUUGUAAGUUAGAGGUGAAAGCCCGGGGCUCAACCCCGGAACUGCCUUUAAGACUGCAUCGCUUGAAUCCGGAAGAGGUGCGUGGAAUUCCGAGUGUAGAGGUGAAAUUCGUAGAUAUUCGGAAGAACACCAGUGGCGAAGGCGGCUCACUGGACCGGUAUUGACGCUGAUGUGCGAAAGCGUGGGGAGCAAACAGG